rnacentral:lncRNA from 1 species
GGCAUGAGAGCUAAUCUUAUAUGCCCUACGUAUGGAGAGGGAGAAGAAAACAUUUAUCAUAUUUCCAUUAAAUUUGACCAAUAUUUGAUGUUUGGGCAAGGGUGUACCUUUAUACUAAUCAAGUGGGUGUUUAAAAUGGUUUAUAUAUAGAUUAUAUGGAACUUGGUAAAUUCAAAAUUAGUAGGAACAUCAUGAAAACUUCUUUGACCCUUUAAAAUUGAUUUUAGAGCUUCA